UGUUUUGUGAAAACUGGUGGGGAUGUUCAUUUGUGUUAUGGCUGUUAGAUAGGGAGUGGUGUUUCUGAUCCUAAAUAACUAACUACAGUGCUGUCAAAGAAGUGAGUCUGUUUAGCCUUAUAAAGUAUAUGGAGUAACCUCAGCAAAGGCUUUCAGUUUAAAUGUAGUUCAGAGGUCUCCUUAGACUGCUGUGGGUGAGGUUUUCUUAGAUUUUCAGUCAAUGUCAGUAAUUCGGUUUGUAUUGGCUUAAGGGGUUUUGGUCUGAAAUUGCCUUUCUCUAAAAUUUCUCCUUCACUCCAAAGGUUACCAUGGAUGAGGAAGCGCUGUGCAGUCUGGUGUCACAGAAAUGAGGCUAUAGGUAGGAACAAGCAGCAUUCAUCAGUACCGUGGAGGUCUGCGGCACUGGAUUUUCCUCUAAAUGCAGUUUCCACCACUGGCAGAUUCUCGGGUUGGGUGUUAUUGGUGUCAAAUCUGCCACUUCUCAAGAGGGUACAGGUGAUGCUUCAUUGUUCUCAUUGCACCAUGAGGCAGAUCUGUGGGUUAGUGGGAAAGCAAAACAGUAAUUUCUUGUAAGUGCCACUGGGGCUUCACUCAUGCUGCUCACAGGACACAUGACUUAAAUUAUUUUUAAUUACUAUUAAUCAAGUCACAUCUGUAGCAUAUUAAACAAAUUAUUUUUUACUAGAAACAGGGCUGUCUGCUGGCAUCAAACCUAGGCAAAAUAUAUGUAUGUGAGCGUAAGCUACUCAUUUUCCUUCUCUAUCCUACUUUUCCUUUCUAACCUCAUUGUUUCAUAAAGAAACUUACUUUGCAAGCUACCUAGUGCUUUGGCAUUUGAUUUGUUCUCUAAAUCCAUAGCACAGUCUGUUGUGGGGCUUGUGUUCUUCACACAGGAUCAUAGCAAAUCAUAUUCUGCUUUUUUUUCAGGCAGUUUAUUUUAGUAUCUACCCUUUUUAAUGAACAAUUUCUUUAAGGAAUCAGCGUGCAGUUCUUACAAUGUGAACAGAGAGGAGCUCGCUUAUUUAUCUACAGGUAGGCCACCAUCACCAAUAAGAAUCCCUGUCUCUGGUGCCAUAGAAAUACCUCAUGGAAAUGUCUGUGUGUUAAAAAGGCAACCGCCACAUAGCAUCUUCUAUUGUUAUAAAUGGGAAUUAAGCAUUUAACAGCUGCUGUAUUGCUCUGCAGCAUUAUGAAAUGAGUAGAAGAUGCAAGCACAAGCCUUGUUACUCCUAUACUAAAUCAUUUUUCUUUGAAGUGGAGACUUAAUUGCUUUUUCUAUGUGGAACAUAUAUCGUUAGCACACUAAUCAGAAUACAAGCAGCUCGCAAAGGGGAUAAUGAGGGAGAACUUCCAUGUAAUGCUUGGUUUACAUCCACGUGACUCUGUAGAAAAAUGUUUUGUUUUCCUGAGCUGCCCUUAAUUUGAGGCUUUUUGCUUAAUGAGACUUCAAACAAAUUCUGCAUUAUAGGUUUCAGGUUUUCAUCCCAGAGAGAGGCUUGGGAUUUUGGGGAGGGCAGGGAGGCAAAGCAGCUUGGAAAACCUGAACAGACAUUAAGUAAGCAUGCCUCUUGAGGAAAGACAGAUAAGGCAACCUUCCUAAAUGCGACAGAAGUAAAACUUCCUGUUUAAAUACACCAUAGUCUAAAAGCAUACGUCACAAUUUGUUUUUCUUAAGCCUUUUGAGUUUAAUUUAAUAGAAAAUGUUUUCAUAAUUGUCUGAUAGCUUUUCUGAUGUUUUCUACAAGCUGAAAUAUUUCUCAUGCAGGUUUUGUUUUGAGGGCUGGGAAGUAUGACCUUUUGGAGGCUGGGAACACACGUGUCCUACUAUGCACUGCUGCUUGAGAGUGUGCAAAAUGCUAAAGGUUUAAAUCAAAUUGCCCUGAGGACUGCUUACUGACCUUUUGAAUGCAAAGCUGUCAAAACCUUCAGCUAGACAUCAGCUAGAGAAGAACACUUAAGGCAGAUCAAUGCAAACAGAAAACAAUGUGGUUCUGACUUUUGGUAAUUCCUAGUUAGUAACAAACGUUACUGUGCUGCAAGAGCUGUUGGAAACAAACACGUACUGCUGAGGAGUUUCUGUGAGUAACAUGUAAUAGUUGUUUCUCAAAGAAAACCUUUUAUAAUCUACUUAAGAAAUUAAAAGUUUUCAUUAAUUGCUAAAUCCUGAUAGAGUUAUCUGAGCAAGAUGCUUCAUUGACUUCAAAGGGAUUUUUGUCUACUUAAGGAAUGCAGGGUCAGGCCCUUAACUAGUGAUAACUUUCUUCAGUGGGUUGUCAGAUAUGACAAACUAUGCCACUUUAAUAGAAGUUACCCUGGCCUUGCCAUGCUAUCCCUUUAUCCUGCAAAUCUGCUUUCUUCCUUUGCCCAGAACUUCUGGGUGGCUGUUAUAUAAAAUUUAGGAAUUGCUCUCUGUAAGCUGUGGCUUCUGUGAUUAUAUUUUCUUCACUUUGAAUAUACAUUAUAUUCUAGCUAUGAUACAUUAUAUAAUAAAUCCAGUUGAUGAAAGUGUUGGAUGUAGUUAUAAGUUUGUCCCCCUUCCUUCUGUGAAUUGCUGCCCAGCUGUUUGUUGUCCAUCCUUAACAGACUUACUUGUAAUUAGUUGCACUAUUACUUGCUGUAAUGCAGAGUUUUAAAGAAAUGCCUUCCUUUCUAUAUAAGCUUACAGAAAUGAACCAAAAAAUCAGGGGACUGGAAGGAUUUGUUUGGUCUCAGUCUAAUAAUUAGAAAUGUGCAAUAAGUAUUAAGCAAUCAUGUAUGUCCUGUGGUGAAGACCCACAGGAAUAAUUACUUUGCAGGUUAGUAAAAAAUAAUUCUCUCUGCUUUAUCAGAGUGUUACAACUGCUCUCAGUGUAAUUAAAAGUUAGUUCUUAAUGCUUAAGAGGUGCUGCUGCAUCCAAGGCAAAAAUAAUAUAAUUGAGCUCUAUUAACAUGUAGCUAAAAAGUACGCCGUUUUGCCACUAACUUAGCAUAAAACUCCACCCCUGCUACACACUUUUCCCCAUAGUACUUAAGAUGAACAUUCUGGCAUGCACAUGGUAUGUAUUGCCUAAGUGUCUUAUUUGCCUAGUGCAAGUUCUGUCAUCUGCCAGAACUUGGCCACUGUGACCUUCUAGAGGUAUCUAAACAUAAAUGACAGCAAAAUGUUAUUUAGUAUUUAGCAAACAUGAUCUUGGGGUAAUGAUUAGGUACUGGACAGCAGCACAGCUGAAACCAAGUUAUACUACCAGCAGCCCUAACUGGCGGUUGCUCUCCUAAUGCACUAUGCAGGCACAUCUGUGUACGCCACAUACUAAACCACACCAGGGACUUGAUUCCAGUGAAAAAACACUUCUAUUUCUCCUGCCAAGUUAUUUGCAUCCGCAUCAGUUCUCUGAUCUGAUUCCUCACUUGGUCACACAAGCGCUUAUGCCAACCCAAAGUCAGCACCACAAGUUGCAAAGCAUUGAGUUGCAUCAAACAAAUGGAGGAUGCCUGUGGAUGUGCUUCCAGCAGAGCCUCUGAUCUCCUCCUGCCCUGCUGGGCCUGCUCAGGGGCCAGAGAGGAACUUGAGCCAGCGUGCAGAUUCCAGCUGCGGCUGCCUGUCUGUUGUCUCUUUGGUCCCAAGCCAGCUGAGCACCAUAGGCUUAUCUCUCAGGAUUGCUGAGCAUCCCUGAGGUCAGAGAAAGAAAACUGUGCAGCACCUUAUGUGAGAGCCCAAGGUGGCAUGGCAGAGGCAUGCAGGCUGCCCUGGCCUGGGGAACAUUCAUGGUGGUUUAGCUGAUCUGAGUCAGGGCAGCUGCUGUCCCGUGCUGUUGCCAUACAUUUAGCUGCAUGUUGCAACCCGUGGUCCUUCACCAUUCAUUGUGCACUAAGAGCCAGGUUAAGAAGGUAAACCAUGAGAAGUCAAGCUCUACUGAAAAAAAAAAGGAAGAGUUUUCUGGCAGGUUAUGUGCUCCACUCGGAGCAGGCAGAGGAGCGUCAGCAGUGGCAUGAGGGCUGAAGAGCAUGGAGCUGCAGUAAACCUAAACUCCACACCAUAAGAACUCUACACUGUAUGUAAGGGAAAGACUACACACUCAGGCAUCAGGUAUGCCCUCAGGAGUGUACUUUCUGUAGCCAUAGCUGUGUGGUUUGUUAAAUGUACCAAGAAGACCCAAUUGCUUGCAUUAAGUAUUUUUAACACCUUCCAGCAGCAGUAAAUGGGCAUGGGAGAGCAAGGAAACAUGCUUUGCCAGAUCCCUGUGAGGUUACUCCUCCAAACUGCUUGCAGUUACCUCCAGCAGCAGGGGAGGAUGUUGGGGUGUCUUCUUUCUCCUGGUGAAAUUCAUGGCAGGGUCCCUUUUCGUUCUAGUGUGAUGAGACUGCAGGGGUAGGGGUAAAUGUCUGGAGGCUGCCUCUGGGGCACUGUGAAACAACCUGGCUGAGGCAUAUCCACUGAUUUGGGUCAGUGGACCACUGUUGUAGAAGGUGGCUGGGGAAAAAAAAAAAGCAACGAAAGUGUGGCAAAUAAUUGUAGUCCUUCCACUUUGGUGUUUGCUGCUUUAUAACCAAAUGAGAUCUGUGUUAAAAUCCCUUUGUCAAGGAGGUGUGCUUUUCCUGUACAGGAAGGCUCCCUGGAGAGAAAGUUCAUUAGCAUCCAAAGGGCUCAGCCCAAGGUGUGUAUGCCCAUCUGCUCAUGGAAGGAGUGAAUCUCCUUUGAGAAUGCAACAAAGAUGCAGAUACGUGAAAAUGGAAAUACUGGUGUUUGCAGCUGCCUCAACACAGCCGCACGAAGUGCUCCAGUGGGAAGCACUUUUCUUUGUCAAGCCAUUGAAGACAAAUAUUGUGUUUGAUCUCAUGAGUCAAACCCUCCUGCUGGCACAGCGUAGUCCAGGGAAACGGUAAAGCGGUUUCCCUGCCACAGGAGUGAGCACAGACAACACAACUAACAGCAAUCAGCCCACAAGUAAGCCUACAGAUUGUUUUUUCUCCAUUGGCUUCUUUUGUCUCCUGGUCCAUUAGGACCAACUCCUGCUUCAAAGAGGGCUGGUGAGCUGGGCAAGGAGGUGUCCAUUGCUGGGCAGUACAGCACAGCCACCCACUCAUGCCUGCGGGAAGCAGUGUGCUGCUGCACAGAGCAUAGGUCUGCAGGGAAGUAACUUGUAUCUAACAAAGGACAGUUUCAGCCUCUCCACCAACUGACCAAAGCACAUGCCAUAGAAAUGCUACUGGGUAAUGCAUUCCUUGUCCCUGUGUUUGUCUUCUAGUUGUGCCGAGGUCAUCUAGCAAAUCUCGAAUUCAGGUCACUAAUCAACCACGAUUUAGCAGGAGAGAGUCCACUACCAACAUGAGCUGCAAUUGAAAGUUGUGAGUUUGCCACAAGAAAGAAUUCAUGUUUAAUCAUUAAUGCUCAAAAAGAAUAUAAACAAAAUUGCUUGUGAUACCUUUUUUCAUAAUUCACACUUUUAUGACUGGAUAAAUUAAAACACUUAGGAAAUUUUAAAAAUACUGAGUCAAGUGGAUCCUGUUACUGUAUUUGCUCCUAUUCGGACACCAAAGCCGUACAUGUGCAGUUGUGCUUUGCAAAAUGACUGUGAAACUGCCUGGAUGCCUUUUGGGUAACUGAUCUGUAUGCAGAACAAAUCUUUCCUAAUUACCUUUCCUGAAAACUAGUGCUAAGAUCAGAGCAAGCUGAAUGCUUCUGCUUAUGUAUUUUUGACAAGUGAGAAAGGUGAUAUAGGUCAAACUAUGGCUUGUGUCAUGUUUAGAUAUCUCUGAUUUUCUUCUGCAGGCUUUCAGGAGUCACUGACUGAGGCUGCAUCCAGUCCCAGUGAUGAUGCGGCAGAAGGGACCAAGUUUGGCUGCCGGGUCCUGGCUCUGUGAGCUUUGCACUGCUGGCAGGAACAAAAAGCACUGAAAACUUGCCUGUCACUGAAGUCAGCAGCUCUCACAAUGAAAGCAAACAAGGGGCAAAUUUGCUGAGUAAGAAGAUGCCUUCCUACAUGGUAACUUUAGAAACUAGACCUCUGAAUAGACAAAAAAGUAGCUUAGAAAUCGCUGGCUGCGAGCAUGGAGUAAAUUUACUGGUGGAGCUGUGAACUUCAGUGAUAGUGGCAGCAUUUGAUUUGAUAUUUCACUUCCAAA